GGGCAUCACAGACAGGUGGUGCAUGGUUGUCGUCAGCUCGUGUCGUGAGAUGUUGGGUUAAGUCCCGCAACGAGCGCAACCCCUGCCUGUAGUAGCCAGCAUGUAAUGAUGGGAACUCUACAGGGACUGCCGGGGUCAACCCGGAGGAAGGUGGGGAUGACGUCAAAUCAUCAUGCCCCUUACGGCCUGGGCGACACACGUGCUACAAUGGCACAACAAAGAGACGCGAUCCCGCGAGGGGGAGCAAACCUCAAAAAUAGUGUCCCAGUUCGGACUGUAGUCUGCAACCCGACUACACGAAGCCGGAAUCGCUAGUAAUCGCGGAUCAAAAUGCCGCGGUGAAUACGUUCCC
rnacentral:rRNA from 1 species